rnacentral:rRNA from 1 species
UACGGAGGGUGCAAGCGUUGUUCGGAAUCACUGGGCGUAAAGGGCGUGUAGGCGGUCCGCUAAGUCUGAUGUGAAAGCCCGGGGCUCACCCCCGGAAGGGCAUUGGAAACUGGCGGACUCGAGUCUCGGAGAGGAAGGUGGAAUUCCUGGUGUAGCGGUGAAAUGCGUAGAUAUCAGGAGGAAUACCGGUGGCGAAGGCGGCCUUCUGGACGAUGACUGACGCUGAGACGCGAAAGCGUGGGGAGCGAACAGG